rnacentral:rRNA from 1 species
AUUGAACGCUGGCGGCAUGCCUUACACAUGCAAGUCGAACGGCAGCACGGGAGCAAUCCUGGUGGCGAGUGGCGAACGGGUGAGUAAUAUAUCGGAACGUGCCCAGUCGUGGGGAUACGUAGCGAAAGCUACGCUAAUACCGCAUACGAUCUACGGAUGAAAGCGGGGGAUCGCAAGACCUCGCGCGAUUGGAGCGGCCGAUAUCAGAUUAGGUAGUUGGUGAGGUAAAGGCUCACCAAGCCGAGAUCUGUAGCUGGUCUGAGAGGACGACCAGCCACACUGGGACUGAGACACGGCCCAGACUCCUACGGGA